AANCNUGGGCGAGGCAGCAGUNCGGAAUCUUGCAAUGGGCGAAAGCAAGANCAGCCANCCGCGUGGGGGACGAAGGCCUUCGGGUUGUAAACCNUUANGGGANGAAGACGGUCNCCAAGGAGGAAGCCCCGGCUAANCGGGCCAGCAGCCGCGGUAAAUGNGGGGGCGNGCGUUUUCUGGAAUUUNUGGGGGUAAAGGGGGGGUAGGGGGCCUUUUUAAUCCGGUGUGAAAGGCCCCGGCUUAACCGGGGGGGGGCAUUGGAAACUGGUCGGCUUGGGUNGCGGGGAGGGAUGNGGAAUUUCCGGUGUAGCGGUGAAAUUGGUAGAUAUUGGGAGGAACCCCAGUGGGGAAGGGGCCUUUGGGCGGNACCUGACGCUGAGGCANGAAAGGUGGGGGAGCAAACCGGAUUAGAUUCCCUGGUAGUUCCAGCCGUAAACGAUGAUUGNUAGGUGUGGNGGUNUCGACCCCUGCAGUGCCGCAGNUAACGCAAUACNCNC
rnacentral:rRNA from 1 species